rnacentral:rRNA from 1 species
UGGCUGGGGGUGAAAGGCCAAUCAAACCGGGAGAUAGCUGGUUCUCCCCGAAAGCUAUUUAGGUAGCGCCUCGUGAACUCAUCUUCGGGGGUAGAGCACUGUUUCGGCUAGGGGGUCAUCCCGACUUACCAACCCGAUGCAAACUGCGAAUACCGAAGAAUGUUAUCACGGGAGACACACGGCGGGUGCUAACGUCCGUCGUGAAGAGGGAAACAACCCAGACCGCCAGCUAAGGUCCCAAAGUCAUGGUUAAGUGGGAAACGAUGUGGGAAGGCACAGACAGCCAGGAUGUUGGCUUAGAAGCAGCCAUCAUUUAAAGAAAGCGUAAUAGCUCACUGGUCGAGUCGGCCUGCGCGGAAGAUGUAACGGGGCUAAACCAUGCACCGAAGCUGCGGCAGCGACACUAUGUGUUGUUGGGUAGGGGAGCGUUCUGUAAGCCGUUGAAGGUGUAUCGUGAGGUAUGCUGGAGGUAUCAGAAGUGCGAAUGCUGACAUAAGUAACGAUAAUGCGGGUGAAAAACCCGCACGCCGGAAGACCAAGGGUUCCUGUCCAACGUUAAUCGGGGCAGGGUGAGUCGACCCCUAAGGCGAGGCCGAAAGGCGUAGUCGAUGGGAAACAGGUUAAUAUUCCUGUACUUGGUGUUACUGCGAAGGGGGGACGGAGAAGGCUAUGUUAGCCGGGCGACGGUUGUCCCGGUU